CCUUAGAGUUUGAUCCUGGCUCAGGAUGAACGCUGGCGGCGUGCCUAAUACAUGCAAGUCGAACGAAUCUCUUUUAGAGAUGAGUGGCGAACGGGUGAGUAAUACAUAGGUAACCUGCCCCUGUGCGGGGGAUAACAGGAGGAAACUCCUGCUAAUACCGCAUAGCCAUGAGCACCGCAUGGAGCUCAUGCCAAAUAUCCUUUCGGGGAUAGCACAGGGAUGGACCUAUGGCGCAUUAGCUUGUUGGCGGGGCAACGGCCCACCAAGGCAACGAUGCGUAGCCGGCCUGAGAGGGCGGACGGCCACAUUGGGACUGAGACACGGCCCAGACUCCUACGGGAGGCAGCAGUAGGGAAUUUUCGGCAAUGGGGGAAACCCUGACCGAGCAACGCCGCGUGAGCGAAGAAGGCCUUCGGGUCGUAAAGCUCUGUUGUAAAGGAAGAACGGCGCAUACAGGAAAUGGUAUGCGAGUGACGGUACUUUACCAGAAAGCCACGGCUAACUACGUGCCAGCAGCCGCGGUAAUACGUAGGUGGCGAGCGUUAUCCGGAAUCAUUGGGCGUAAAGAGGGAGCAGGCGGCCGCAAGGGUCUGUGGUGAAAGCCCGAAGCUAAACUUCGGUAAGCCAUGGAAACCGGGCGGCUAGAGUGCGGAAGAGGAUCGUGGAAUUCCAUGUGUAGCGGUGAAAUGCGUAGAUAUAUGGAGGAACACCAGUGGCGAAGGCGACGGUCUGGGCCGCAACUGACGCUCAUUCCCGAAAGCGUGGGGAGCAAAUAGGAUUAGAUACCCUAGUAGUCCACGCCGUAAACGAUGGUCACUAAGUGUCGGGGGUCAAACCCCGGUGCUGCAGCCAACGCAAUAAGUGACCCGCCUGAGUAGUACGUUCGCAAGAAUGAAAC
rnacentral:rRNA from 1 species